UUUACAACUCAUAAAUGGUAAAGUCACACUGAAAAAAUUUGAAACUAUAAUCCAAAAACACCUAGGUGACGAAUCAACAAUUAAAUGGGGGUGAAACUAUAAAGAGUAUUGUCAUGUUUAACAUAUUACAAUAAGCUACGUGAAAUAGUUUGAUUUGUUUCUUUGCUUUCAAUUUUUGCUGGAUUUAUUUAAGUGACAUCGGGUCCAUGUAAGUUCUAUGAUUGUAACCAGAUUCACCACAUCUUCUACAUUUCACAAUUUGUGAUCUCUUGCACACUGACUUCUUCCUCGUCUCAAUAUGACAACCAGAACAUCUUUUUUUGAUUUGGGACAAGCAGAGUUAUGCUCUUCACACCGUCUGGUACUCUAUUACCUUCAAGCAUAACCGUCUCCUUGUAGGUAUUCACAUAUGCAUCCGUUAUGUAAUAAUUCGAAUAAAAAUUAUACACAUCAAUCUUCAAUAUUGCAAACACUGCUAAUGCACGUAGACAUGAAAGUUGAUCCACUUAAAAAAUUAUACAACCAUAUGUGCAUUGAGUUAUAUCAAUUAUGUCUGAUGACAAAUCAUAUCAUACUUCAAACAAAGCAUGACUUGAUGGGAAAAUCUGAAAUUAAAUAAACCAG
rnacentral:lncRNA from 1 species